CAGCGUUAUAAUGAACACCGUGUUUCUAAUUUAAUUUGCUGGUUUCACCACCAUUUUUCUUUCUUUUUACUGUGGUAUGGCACCGAGCAGCCAUGUUGUAUGCCCAAGGUUAUUUAUCUAUGACACCCAACAUGUCUUAUCAUAGUACAUUCAUGCAUACUGUAAUUUUCAUUUAGCGGCAUAUCUACUAGGCUUGGCUAACACACACGCUUGUAUAGUGGGCUAUUAGCCCUUUGUUAAAUUUAAGUCAGAGCAGUGUGCGCCAUCGCUACAUCGAUAAUCGACUUGCCUAGCAGGCCAUCAAUGUCUUACGAUUUUUACUUAGGAUUCAGCUUGAGACAUGGCAGCC